rnacentral:rRNA from 1 species
GAAAAGAAACCAACAGGGAUUGCCCCAGUAACGGCGAGUGAAGCGGCAACAGCUCAAAUUUGAAAUCUGGCCCCCGGGUCCGAGUUGUAAUUUGUAGAGGAUGCUUUUGGCGAGGUGCCUUCCGAGUUCCCUGGAACGGGACGCCAUAGAGGGUGAGAGCCCCGUCUGGUCGGACACCGAGCCUCUGUAAAGCUCCUUCGACGAGUCGAGUAGUUUGGGAAUGCUGCUCAAAAUGGGAGGUAUAUGUCUUCUAAAGCUAAAUAUUGGCCAGAGACCGAUAGCGCACAAGUAGAGUGAUCGAAAGAUGAAAAGCACUUUGAAAAGAGGGUUAAAAAGUACGUGAAAUUGUUGAAAGGGAAGCGCCUAUGACCAGACUUGGGCCCGGUGAAUCAUCCAGCGUUCUCGCUGGUGCACUUUGCCGGGCACAGGCCAGCAUCAGUUUGGCGCGGGGGAGAAAGGCUCUGGGAAUGUGGCUCCUCCGGGAGUGUUAUAGCCCACUGCGUAAUACCCUGCGCCGGACUGAGGUACGCGCAUUGCAAGGAUGCUGGCGUAAUGGUCAUCAGCGACCCGUCUUGAAACACGGACCAAGGAGUCGUCUUCGUAUGCGAGUGUUCGGGUGUCAAACCCCUACGCGUAAUGAAAGUGAACGCAGGUGAGAGCUUCGGCGCAUCAUCGACCGAUCCUGAUGUUCUCGGAUGGAUUUGAGUAAGAGCAUACGGGGCCGGACCCGAAAGAAGGUGAACUAUGCCUGUAUAGGGUGAAGCCAGAGGAAACUCUGGUGGAGGCUCGCAGCGGUUCUGACGUGCGAAUCGAUCGUCAAAUAUGGGCAUGGGGGCGAAAGACUAAUCGAACCUUCUAGUAGCUGGUU